CCAUUGUUUACUUGGUGAUACAGAUUCAAAAACACUACACCAGGUCAUUUUCACAUGCCCCAAAUCCAAAAUAAAGGUCUUAAUCAACAUAUAUAACUUGCAAUAUAACUACAAAACAUGUAAAGAGUAAAGGACAAAGGGAAAUCAACUUCGAAUAGGGUCUUCAUUUAACAACACUUCAACUCUUUUACAUGUUCACAAUCAUCCAUUCUCACACAUUAAGAGAUGUGAUAAAUACCUGGAAAUGGAAAGAAAUAAUAGGCGAG
rnacentral:lncRNA from 1 species